rnacentral:rRNA from 1 species
UACGUAGGUGGCAAGCGUUGUCCGGAAUUACUGGGCGUAAAGCGCACGUAGGCGGCUUUGUAAGUCAGAGGUGAAAGCCCGGAGCUCAACUCCGGAAUUGCCUUUGAGACUGCAUCGCUUGAAUCCAGGAGAGGUGAGUGGAAUUCCGAGUGUAGAGGUGAAAUUCGUAGAUAUUCGGAAGAACACCAGUGGCGAAGGCGGCUCACUGGUCCGGUACUGACGCUGAGGUGCGAAAAGCGUGGGGAGCAAACAGG